rnacentral:rRNA from 1 species
GACGAACGCUGGCGGCGUGCCUAAUACAUGCAAGUCGAGCGAGACUCUUCGGAGUCUAGCGGCGGACGGGUGAGUAACACGUGGGCAACCUGCCUGUAAGACUGGGAUAACACCGGGAAACCGGUGCUAAUACCAGAUAAUCCUUUUCCUCUCAUGAGGAAAAGCUGAAAGUCGGUUUCGGCUGACACUUACAGAUGGGCCCGCGGCGCAUUAGCUAGUUGGUGAGGUAACGGCUCACCAAGGCGACGAUGCGUAGCCGACCUGAGAGGGUGAUCGGCCACACUGGGACUGAGACACGGCCCAGACUCCUACGGGAGGCAGCAGUAGGGAAUCUUCCACAAUGGACGAAAGUCUGAUGGAGCAACGCCGCGUGAGCGAUGAAGGCCUUCGGGUCGUAAAGCUCUGUAGUUAGGGAAGAACAAGUACCGGAGUAACUGCCGGUACCUUGACGGUACCUAACCAGAAAGCCACGGCUAACUACGUGCCAGCCGCCGCCGUAAGAC